UUUUUUUUUUAUUGUGUUACUGGUCUUCUCAAAACAUUACAACAACAUGACUGAAGUAACAUUCUCUUUAUAAGUAACUUGAAAACCAUCUGGUUAAGGAACAUUGUAUUUUUAAUGGCCAUGUUAUACAAAAAUUGGUCAAGGUGUAAAUAAAUGUAAAACAAAUUCACGAGUUAAAUAGCGUUGCUGAAGAUUUGAAUAAGAAAUAUUUGUGUAAAUAUUGCAGUUGCAGGAAUACAGAGAUAUUUUUUGCAAUUUUGCUGAGUCUAGGAAAGAUUGGCUGUCAGCUCGGCUUUGACUUUGUCUUCUUCUGAUUGAAUGAGAGGUUGUAAAGCUGCUGCCUUUUUCUUAAAAAGAUACAGUGGAAGUAAAGGACUGAACAUGGAAACCGUAAAGCCUAAUUUAACCCAAUGUGUGAAGUUGUGGACUUAUAGCAGGAGUACCAGAUGUGUGUCUAAUAUAAAAUAAUAUAUUUAAUCUGUUUUUCUUUUUUCCCCUUUUUAAAUACCGAACAUUUCAUGCGCUUUGCUCCACUCUCUCUGUUAUGCUGCCUGAUCUGUCUGGUUUUCAGCUAGGUCCGCUAAAUGACGUCAUGGGGGCAGCUACUUUCACUUUCUCUGCUACAGUCCCUCACCUCUGCUCAUGUUCAAACCAAAAGAUCAGCGCGGUUUUUCACAUGGCAGGCUUUUACGUCCUUCAUACAUGUUGAGAUCGAGUUUGUCGACUUGAUGAGGGAAUGUCUUGACAAUCCAUACAGACGUGACUCAGACUAAUGCAACAAGUAAAAUCCUACAUGACUUCACACAGUUUAA
rnacentral:lncRNA from 1 species